GUGCUCGCUUCGGCAGCACAUAUACUAAAACUAGAACGACACAGAGAAGAUUAGCAUGGACCGUGCACUAAGACAGUAACAUAUCCUAUGCUGUCUGCCUCAGUACU
ensembl:snRNA U6 U6 spliceosomal RNA